rnacentral:rRNA from 1 species
AUUGAACGCUGGCGGCAGGCCUAACACAUGCAAGUCGAGCGGACGAAGGGAGCUUGUUCCUGGAUUCAGUGGCGGACGGGCGAGUAAUGCCUAGGAAUCUGCCUGGUAUUGGGGGAUAACGUCCGGAAACGGGCCCUAAUACCGCAUCCGACCUGAUGUUGAAAGGGGGGGAUCUUCGGACCUCACGCUAUCUGCUGUGCCUAGGUCGUAUUUGCUAGUUGGUGGGGUAAGGGCCUACCAAGGCGACGAUCCGUAACUGGUCUGAGAGGAUGAUCAGUCACACUGGAACUGAGACACGGUCCAGACUCCUACGGGAGGCAGCAGUGGGGAAUAUUGGACAAUGGGCGAAAGCCUGACGGAGCCAUGCCGCGUGUGUGAAGAAGGUCUUCGGAUUGUAAAGCACUUUAAGUUGGGAGGAAGGGAAGUAAGUUAAUCCCUUGCUGUUUUGACGUUACCAACAGAAUAAGCACCGGCUAACUUCGUG